CAAACCGAUAUGCUAUCUUGGCUGA
rnacentral:rasiRNA from 1 species